UACUGGGGAGCUUGGACAACAGGCUGAGAGGAAGGUGUGGCCUUCGACCCGUGAACCUGAUUUGGAUAAUGCCAACGUAGGGAUGUGCG
rnacentral:ncRNA from 1 species